rnacentral:rRNA from 1 species
AUGGACGCCGACGCUACCGAGGUCGGUGUCACAGAGGUCGACGCCACGGUGGCCACCCACUCAUCACUGCGCGAUGAAGGCGACGCGUCUCCGGAGCACAUCUUCACCAAGCCUGUGCUAUGGACGUUGACGCCACGGAGGUCGAUGCCCCGGAGGUCAACGCCACGUAGGCCGCCCCUGCUCAUCACCGCUAGACGGUGGACGCCACGGAGAUCGCCAUCAUCACUCGCGACCGCUUUAUCACGAUGGUGCCGCGGAGGACGACGAUAUGGAGCACGCCACGAAGAACUUGUCGUCAAUGUCGUCAAGCCGCCCCCAUGGAAGCCGACGACACAGAGAGAGUUCGCCGAGACGCCGCCCACCGCCGACACCGCCAAACCGGUGCCAUGGAGGUGA